CCUACGGGAGGCAGCAGUGAGGAAUAUUGGUCAAUGGACGCAAGCCUGAACCAGCCACGCCGCGUGCAGGAAGACGGCUCUAUGAGUUGUAAACUGCUUUUGUACGAGGGUAAACGCAGAUACGCGUAUCUGUCUGAAAGUAUCGUACGAAUAAGGAUCGGCUAACUCCGUGCCAGCAGCCGCGGUAAUACGGAGGAUUCAAGCGUUAUCCGGAUUUAUUGGGUUUAAAGAGUGUGUAGGCGGUCGGAUAAGUUAGAGGUGAAAUCCCGAGGCUCAACUUCGGAAUUGCCUCUGAUACUGUUCGGCUAGAGAGUAGUUGCGGUAGGCGGAAUGUAUGGUGUAGCGGUGAAAUGCUUAGAGAUCAUACAGAACACCGAUUGCGAAGGCAGCUUACCAAGCUACUUCUGACGUUGAGGCACGAAAGCGUGGGGAGCAAACAGGAUUAGAUACCCGGGUAGUC
rnacentral:rRNA from 1 species